rnacentral:tRNA from 1 species
CCCUGGGUGGUGCAAAUGGUUAACACAUUUGGCUACUAACCAAAAGGUUGGCAGUUGGAGUCCACCCAGGUA